UACGGAGGGGGCGAGCGUUAUUCGGAAUUAUUGGGCGUAAAGGGCGCGUAGGCGGCCAUGCGUGUCUUCCGUGAAAUCCCUCGGCUUAACUGAGGACGUGCGGAAGAAACUGCAAGGCUCGAGUCCGGGAGAGGGGGGUGGAAUUCCCAGUGUAGCGGUGAAAUGCGUAGAUAUUGGGAGGAACACCGGUGGCGAAGGCGGCCCCCUGGACCGGUACUGACGCUGAUGCGCGUAAGCGUGGGUAGCAAACGGG
rnacentral:rRNA from 1 species